rnacentral:miRNA from 1 species
AUAGAUUUCCCCUGGAGAUCUUGUUAAAAAGUAGAAUCUGGAUAUUCUGACUCAGUAGAUCUGGCGUCAGGGAGAAAGUCUGCAUUUCUAAUGAGCUCCCAGGUGAUGUUGAU